rnacentral:rRNA from 1 species
UACGGAGGAUGCAAGCGUUAUCCGGAAUGAUUGGGCGUAAAGCGUCCGCAGGCGGCAGUUCAAGUCUGCUGUUAAAUACUAGGGCUCAACCCUGGAGCGGCAGUGGAAACUGAAGGGCUAGAGUUGGGUAGGGGUAGAGGGAAUUCCCAGUGUAGCGGUGAAAUGCGUAGAGAUUGGGAAGAACACCGGUGGCGAAAGCGCUGUGCUAGGCCGAAACUGACGCUCAUGGACGAAAGCUAGGGGAGCGAAUGGG